rnacentral:rRNA from 1 species
GACGAACGCUGGCGGUAUGCCUAAUACAUGCAAGUCGAACGCUGAAGCACUCUGCUUGCAGAGUGUGGAUGAGUGGCGAACGGGUGAGUAACACGUGGGGAACCUGCCCAUAAGAGGGGGAUAACAUCCGGAAACGGGUGCUAAUACCGCAUAGGUGAUCAUAGCGCAUGCUUAGAUCAUUAAAGAUGGCUUCGGCUAUCGCUUAUGGAUGGCCCCGCGGCGUAUUAGCUAGUUGGUGAGGUAAUGGCUCACCAAGGCUGUGAUACGUAGCCGACCUGAGAGGGUGAUCGGCCACACUGGAACUGAGACACGGUCCAGACUCCUACGGGAGGCAGCAGUAGGGAAUCUUCCACAAUGGGCGAAAGCCUGAUGGAGCAAUACCGCGUGAGUGAAGAAGGUCUUCGGAUCGUAAAGCUCUGUUGUUAGAGAAGAACAAGAGGUGUAGUAACUGGCACCUCCUUGACGGUAUCUAACCAGAAAGUCACGGCUAACUACGUGCCAGCAGCCGCGGUAAUACGUAGGUGACAAGCGUUGUCCGGAUUUAUUGGGCGUAAAGCGAGCGCAGGCGGUCUUUUAAGUCUGAUGUGAAAGCCCACGGCUCAACCGUGGAGGGUCAUUGGAAACUGGAAGACUUGAAUGCAGAAGAGGAAGGUGAAUUUCCAUGUGUAGCG